UACGUAGGUGGCAAGCGUUGUCCGGAUUUACUGGGCGUAAAGAGCGCGCAGGCGGUCGAGUAAGUCGAAUGUGAAAGCCCCCGGCUUAACUGGGGAGGGUCAUUCGAUACUGUUCGACUUGAAGGCAGGAGAGGGCAGCAGAAUUCCCGGUGUAGUGGUGAAAUGCGUAGAUAUCGGGAGGAAUGACCAGUGGCGAAGGCGGCUGCCUGGCCUGUUCUUGACGCUGAGGCGCGAAAGC
rnacentral:rRNA from 1 species